rnacentral:tRNA from 2 species
GGGCCUGUAGCUCAGUUGGUUAGAGCAGUAGACUCAUAAUCUAUUGGUCGAAGGUUCGAGUCCUUCCAGGCCCACCA